rnacentral:rRNA from 1 species
AUUGAACGCUGGCGGCAUGCUUUACACAUGCAAGUCGAACGGUAACAGGUUAAGCUGACGAGUGGCGAACGGGUGAGUAAUGCAUCGGAACGUGCCCGGUCGUGGGGGAUAACGCAGCGAAAGCUGCGCUAAUACCGCAUACGAUCUGAGGAUGAAAGCGGGGGACCGUAAGGCGUAGCGCGAUCGGAGCGGACGAUGUCAGAUUAGGUAGUUGGUGGGGUAAAGGCUCACCAAGCCAACGAUCGGUAGCUGGUCUGAGAGGACGACCAGCCACACUGGGACUGAGACACGGCCCAGACUCCUACGGGAGGCAGCAGUGGGGAAUUUUGGACAAUGGGCGAAAGCCUGAUCCAGCAAUGCCGCGCGCAGGAAGAAGGCCUUCGGGUUGUAAACUGCUUUUGUACGGAGCGAAAAGGUCUCCUCUAAUACAGGGGGCUCAUGACGGUACCGUAAGAAUAAGCACCGGCUAACUACGUGCCAGCCGCCGCGGUAA